rnacentral:rRNA from 1 species
CGGAACGCUGGCGGCGUGGAUUAGGCAUGCAAGUCGAACGGUAUCAUCCUUCGGGGGUGAGAGAGUGGCGAACUGGUGAGUAACACGUAGGUUAUCUACCCUCAAGACGGGGACAACCCAGGGAAACUUGGGCUAAUACCGGAUGUGAGCAACUUUAGUUGUUUGAAAGGUGGCGUAAGCUGUCGCUUGGGGAUGAGCCUGCGUCCUAUUAGUUAGUUGGUGAGGUAACGGCUCACCUAGGCAAUGAUAGGUAGGCGGCCUUAACGGGUGGUCGCCCACACUGGGAUUGAGAUACGGCCCAGACUCCUACGGGAGGCAGCAGUCGAGAAUAGUCUACAAUGGUCGGAAGACUGAUAGUGCGACGCCGCGUGAACGAUGAAUCCCUUCGGGGUGUAAAGUUCUUUUAUAUGUGAGCAGUGCUUCUUAUAUUAACAGUAUGGGGAGAGAGAUAUUAGCAUAUGAAUAAGCAACGGCUAACUCCGUG